rnacentral:rRNA from 1 species
UACGUAGGGGGCAAGCGUUGUCCGGAAUCAUUGGGCGUAAAGGGCGCGUAGGCGGCCAUGCGUGUCUUCCGUGAAAUCCCUCGGCUUAACUGAGGACGUGCGGAAGAAACUGCAAGGCUCGAGUCCGGGAGAGGGGGGUGGAAUUCCCAGUGUAGCGGUGAAAUGCGUAGAUAUUGGGAGGAACACCGGUGGCGAAGGCGGCCCCCUGGACCGGAACUGACGCUGAGGCGCGAAAGCGUGGGUAGCAAACGGG